CUGGAGUUACUAGUAAUCGCAGAUCAGAAUGCUGCGGUGAAUGCGUUCCCGGGUCUUGUACACACCGCCCGUCACACCACGGGAGUUGGAGACGCCCGAAGCCGAUUAUCUAACCUUUUGGAAGAAGUCGUCGAAGGUGGAAUCAAUAACUGGGGUGAAGUCGUAACAAGGUAGCCGUAUCGGAAGGUGCGGCUGGAUCACCUCCUUU
rnacentral:rRNA from 1 species